rnacentral:rRNA from 1 species
AAAAGUUACGAAGGGCGUAUGGGGGAUGCCUUGGCUUCCGGGAGCGAAGAAGGACGUGGUAAGCUGCGAAAAUCGCCGGGGAUUAGCAAACAUGAGUUGAUCCGGCGGACUCCGAAUGGGACAACCCACCAGGCUGAAGGCCUGGUACCAUCGCAAGAUGGGGCAGACGCAGGGAACUGAAACAUCUUAGUACCUGCAGGAAAAGAAAGAAAGAUCGAUUCUCUGAGUAGUGGCGAUCGAAAGGAGAAGAGCCUAAACCGCCGUUGUUUUGGCAAGGGCGGGGUUGCAGGACCCUAUUAGUGAUGUUAUAAAAGAAGUGGAAGUUGUCUGGAAAGGCACACCGCAGGGCGUGAAAGUCGCGUACAUGCAAUUGAAUAACAACACAAGGGAAUCCUAAGUAGGGCGGGACACGAGGAAUCCUGUCUGAAUCCACGGGGACCAUCCCGUAAGGCUAAAUAUUACCGGAAGACCGAUAGUGAACCAGUACUGUGAAGGAAAGGUGAAAAGUACCCCGGACAGGGGGGUGAAAAAGAACCUGAAACCGUACGCCUACAAGCGGUCGGAGCGGGCAAGAGUCCGUAACGGCGUGCCUUUUGCAUAAUGAGCCUACGAGUUACUGUUGCUAGCCAGGUUAAGUACUUCAGGUACGGAGCCGAAGCGAAAGCGAGUCUGAACAGGGCGUGUUGAGUUAGCAGUAGUAGACGCGAAACCUAGUGAUCUACCCUUGGCCAGGUUGAAGUAUCCGUAAAAGGAUAUGGAGGACCGAACCAGUAUCCGUUGAAAAGGAUUUGGAUGAGCUGAGGGUAGGGGUGAAAGGCUAAUCAAACUGGGAGAUAGCUCGUACUCCCCGAAAUGUCUUUUGGGACAGCCUCAAGCUACAGAGUUUACCGGAGGUAGAGCUACUGAUAGGAUGCGAGGGCUUCACCGCCUAUCAAAUCCUGACAAACUCCGAAUGCCGGUAAAUGAUGCUUGGGAGUGAGUUGCCGGGUGCUAAUGUCCGGUAGCGAGAGGGAAAGAGCCCAGACCAACGGCUAAGGCCCCUAAAGUGUGUUAAGUUGACAGAACGAGGUGCGGUUGCUGAGACAGCUAGGAUGUUAGCUUGGAAGCAGCUAGUCAUUUAAAGAGUGCGUAACAGCUCACUAGUCGAGCGACUGUGCGUGGAUAAUAAUCGGGCAUCAAACACACUGCCGAAGCCAUGGACUUCAAAGAAGUGGUAGGGGAGCAUUCCAGAGGGCGUAGAAGGAUAACCUGUGAAGGAAUCUGGAGCGUCUGGAAAAGCAGAUGUAGGCAUAAGUAACGAUAAUGCGGGUUAAAAACCCGCACACCGCAAGCCCAAGGUUUCCUGAUCAAUGUUAGACAGAUCAGGGUUAGUCAGGACCUAAGGGGAAUCCGAGAGGAGCACCCGAUGGACAAAUGGUUAAUAUUCCAUUACCUGUAUGAUAAAGGGGAGGAGUGACGUAGGAGUGACAUGUACGCCGACUGACGGAAUAGUUGGUUAAAGCACGUAAGCAGAUCCGAAGAUUAAGAGUCAUUGGAUGCAGAAGUGCGACAGUACCGCAAGGCUUCGGCUGCGCGGAUAGUUACAGUAAGCAGACUACCGAGAAAAGCUUCGUACCCGUUACCUAUCAUAGAGCCUGUACCGUAAACCGACACAGGUGGGCGAGGAGAGUAUCCUCAGGUGCUCGAGAGAAUCAUGGCUAAGGAACUCGGCAAAAUGACCCCGUAACUUCGGGAAAAGGGGUCCCUGGCGACAGGGCGCAGAGAAAUGGCCCAGGCGACUGUUUAACAAAAACACAUGGCUUUGCAAAAUCGCAAGAUGAAGCAUAAGGCCUGACACCUGCCCGGUGCUGGAAGGUUAAGAGGGGGCGUCAGCCGCAAGGCGAAGCGCUGAAUCGAAGCCCCAGUAAACGGCGGCCGUAACUAUAACGGUCCUAAGGUAGCGAAAUUCCUUGUCGGGUAAGUUCCGACCUGCACGAAUGG